UUAAUUACCUGGCAAAGAAGUCACCAUGAUCACGCAGGUGGUUUCCCGGGGCAGGGCUCACCCAUUGCACCGGGGUGUGCUGACCCCUAGGAUUUCCUCAAAUGUGGGAAGCUCAGCUGCAUAAUUUGUAUUGGUGGGGGGCUGCUUUCACACUCUCCAC
ensembl:snRNA U1 U1 spliceosomal RNA